rnacentral:rRNA from 1 species
UACGGGGGGAGCAAGCGUUGUUCGGAUUUACUGGGCGUAAAGGGCGCGUAGGCGGCCAGCACAAGUCAGUUGUGAAAUCUCCGAGCUUAACUCGGAAAGGUCAACUGAUACUGUGCGGCUAGAGUGUGGUAGGGGAGACUGGAAUUCCUGGUGUAGCGGUGAAAUGCGCAGAUAUCAGGAGGAACACCGGUGGCGAAGGCGGGUCUCUGGGCCGAUACUGACGCUGAGGAGCGAAAGCGUGGGGAGCGAACAGG